UACGUAGGGUGCAAGCGUUAAUCGGAAUUACUGGGCGUAAAGCGUGCGCAGGCGGUUUUGUAAGUCUGACGUGAAAGCCCCGGGCUCAACCUGGGAAUUGCGUUGGAGACUGCAAGGCUUGAAUCUGGCAGAGGGGGGUAGAAUUCCACGUGUAGCAGUGAAAUGCGUAGAGAUGUGGAGGAACACCGAUGGCGAAGGCAGCCCCCUGGGCUAACACUGACGCUCAUGCACGAAAGCGUGGGGAGCAAACAGG
rnacentral:rRNA from 1 species